AUUGAACGCUGGCGGCAUGCCUUACACAUGCAAGUCGAACGGUAACAGGUCUUCGGAUGCCGACGAGUGGCGAACGGGUGAGUAAUACAUCGGAACGUGCCUAGUAGUGGGGGAUAACUACUCGAAAGAGUGGCUAAUACCGCAUGAGAUCUACGGAUGAAAGCAGGGGAUCGCAAGACCUUGUGCUACUAGAGCGGCCGAUGGCAGAUUAGGUAGUUGGUGGGAUAAAAGCUUACCAGGCCGACGAUCUGUAGCUGGUCUGAGAGGACGAUCAGCCACACUGGGACUGAGACACGGCCCAGACUCCUACGGGAGGCAGCAGUGGGGAAUUUUGGACAAUGGGCGAAAGCCUGAUCCAGCAAUGCCGCGUGCAGGAUGAAGGCCUUCGGGUUGUAAACUGCUUUUGUACGGAACGAAAAGCCCCGGGUUAAUACCCUGGGGUCAUGACGGUACCGUAAGAAUAAGCACCGGCUAACUACGUGGCAGCCGCCGCCGUAA
rnacentral:rRNA from 1 species